AUGUCCUUAAGUGUUUUUGAGAUCAGGGAACUAGAGAAAUGUAUUAGGGAACAUACUGUGCUGCCCAGGUGUGGCAAAGGGAGAAUAUUCCCACAUGUUGCAGCUGGUGAUGGUGUGCAUUUUGAGGUGCGGCUUGUUGGGUCUGGUGGAGUAUUGGUGCAGCCUAAAGGGUCAUUGAAACUCUCAUGGGUAGUCUCUGGAUUCACUUUUAAUACCUAUGCCAUGCACUGGGUCCACCAGGCUCCAGAAAAGGGUCUGGAAGGAGUUGCAAGCAUAAGCACUAAAAGUUAUGAUUAUGCAACAUAUUAUGCUGAUUUCGUGAAAGACAGAUUCACCAUCUCCAGAGAUGAUUCACAAAGUAUGGUCUACCUGCAGAUGAACAACUUGAAAACUGAUGACACAGCCAUGUAA